AGUGAACGCUGGCGGUAGGCCUAACACAUGCAAGUCGAACGGCAGCACAGUAAGAGCUUGCUCUUACGGGUGGCGAGUGGCGGACGGGUGAGGAAUACAUCGGAAUCUACUUUUUCGUGGGGGAUAACGUAGGGAAACUUACGCUAAUACCGCAUACGACCUACGGGUGAAAGCAGGGGAUCUUCGGACCUUGCGCGAUUGAAUGAGCCGAUGUCGGAUUAGCUAGUUGGCGGGGUAAAGGCCCACCAAGGCGACGAUCCGUAGCUGGUCUGAGAGGAUGAUAGGCCACACUGGAACUGAGACACGGUCCAGACGCCUACGGGAGGCAGCAGUGGGGAAUAUUGGACAAUGGGCGCAAGCCUGAUCCAGCCAUACCGCGGGGGUGAAGAAGGCCUUCGGGUUGUAAAGCCCUUUUGUUGGGAAAGAAAAGCAGCAGGUUAAUACCCCGCUGUUCUGACGGUACCCAAAGAAUAAGCACCGGCUAACUUCGUG
rnacentral:rRNA from 1 species